CCUCCCCUCAGCGGCCGCGCUCGGACGGACGCACCGACGCCCGCCGAGCCCGGUCCGGUCCCCUCCGGCUUCUCCGCCCCGCGCCGAGGGGAGCCGCUCGCCUCGCGCUCGGCCACUCACCCUCCUCGCCGGGUCCCGGUCGCAAACCGACGCCCCCGCUGCGGGUCCCCGAAUCCCAAGUUGCCCCGAACCGGCGGCUGCUCUCGCCCUAGCGAACCCCGCACAUCGGUGCAGGCGGACACCUCCGAGGGAGCGCGACAAGCCCGGCCGGCGCCCCGGCUCAGCAGCCGCCCGGGACGCGUCGACGAUUCCUGGACCUGCUCAGAGAAUGAGGCGGUCCGCCAGGCUGAGGCUACCGGGCUCCGGAGGGAGGCGGGGCCGCGCGGCGGGCGGGGCGGAGCCAGCCUUGGGCCGGCCCCCGCGGGGGCGGGGCGCCUCCAGCCCGUGACCGGCGGGGCCGGCAGCCAAUCACGGCGACUCCAGGAAUCCGGGCGGCCGCGGGCCGUGCGGAGCGCCCGGCCCCGCCCCGCCCCGCCCCGCCCCGCCCCGCCCCGCCGCCGCGGUCCAAUCGCCUGCGGCCGUGGGCUGGCGCGGAGACGCGCGGGCGGCGGGCAGGUUGGCUGUGGUAGGGAGCCGGGCUGCAGCCGGGCGCUGAGGGCGGUCUCGGGAGGCGAGUGGCGGCCGCAGAGGCCCUGGCUGGGAGAGGCUCGGGGCCACCCAGACGCCCUGAGGGUCGCGGCGGCGUCGGCGCUGUGGGACGCGCAGACUCUGGGUAGACGACGCCACACCUGGCGUCCGCGGGAGGCGCCGAACUUGGCGGCCCCGAGGGAGCCGAGCCCGACAGAGGGUGAGUCCGGGCCGCCUCACCCAGUCACAGUUGGAGGCCCGCACCGGAAACUGGGGGCUCCAGGCUCCCUGGGAAAGGUUCUGGUUGUAAUUUGGUGGUUAUUUCCGAAAACAAAACUCCGAGUCUGCGGGCCUCCUGGAAAGUUCAUGGCACGUCCCCUCCCCGGCUCUGCGUCCGUACCACGGCAGCAGGGGGCUUACCCGGCGCCCAGGCUCCUUUCCCGGCACAGAGCGCCUGAGGCACUUGGGCAGAGCCCGGGGGCGAAAGGGACCCCCGAGACACAGCCUCGGUCCGGCUGCCCCGUAGGAAGGCGGCCGCCGCGCAGCUCCACCUGCUGCUGUCCCUUGGGGCCGCCAGAGGGCCCGGGCCGCGCAUCCUCGCGGGCAGGAGCCUCUCAGAGCGAGCCCCACGGGUCCCGCCCUGCACACGCUCGGCCCCUGCCCCUUCCGAAGCCCCUGGGCCGAGCUCAGAGACCUCUCUAG
rnacentral:lncRNA from 1 species